rnacentral:rRNA from 1 species
UACGUAGGGUGCAAGCGUUGUCCGGAAUUAUUGGGCGUAAAGAGCUCGUAGGCGGUCUGUCGCGUCUGCUGUGAAAACCUAGGGCUUAACUCUGGGCGUGCAGUGGGUACGGGCAGGCUAGAGUGCGGUAGGGGAGACUGGAAUUCCUGGUGUAGCGGUGAAAUGCGCAGAUAUCAGGAGGAACACCGAUGGCGAAGGCAGGUCUCUGGGCCACUACUGACGCUGAGAAGCGAAAGCAUGGGGGAGCGAACAGG